rnacentral:rRNA from 1 species
CCUACGUGCUGGCAGCAGUGGGGAAUAUUGGACAAUGGGCGAAAGCCUGAUCCAGCCAUGCCGCGUGUGUGAAGAAGGCCUUCGGGUUGUAAAGCACUUUCAGUGGGGAAGAAAGCCUUGGGGCUAAUACCCUCGAGGAAGGACAUCACCCACAGAAGAAGCACCGGCUAACUCCGUGCCAGCAGCCGCGGUAAUACGGAGGGUGCGAGCGUUAAUCGGAAUUACUGGGCGUAAAGCGCGCGUAGGCGGUCUGAUAAGCCGGUUGUGAAAGCCCCGGGCUCAACCUGGGAACGGCAUCCGGAACUGUCAGGCUAGAGUGCAGGAGAGGAAGGUAGAAUUCCCGGUGUAGCGGUGAAAUGCGUAGAGAUCGGGAGGAAUACCAGUGGCGAAGGCGGCCUUCUGGACUGACACUGACGCUGAGGUGCGAAAGCGUGGGUAGCAAACAGGAUUAGAUACCCGGGUAGUC